GGAUCGGUGGCUUAGUGGUAAAGUGCUUGGCUUCCAAACCAGGGGUCCUGGUUCGAAUCCUGGUGAAGUCU
rnacentral:tRNA from 1 species